rnacentral:rRNA from 1 species
CACAUGCUGUGAGCUCGAUGAGUAGGGCGGGACACGUGGUAUCCUGUCUGAAUAUGGGGGGACCAUCCUCCAAGGCUAAAUACUCCUGACUGACCGAUAGUGAACCAGUACCGUGAGGGAAAGGCGAAAAGAACCCCGGCGAGGGGAGUGAAAAAGAACCUGAAACCGUGUACGUACAAGCAGUGGGAGCACAGAGCAAUCUGUGUGACUGCGUACCUUUUGUAUAAUGGGUCAGCGACUUAUAUUCUGUAGCAAGGUUAACCGAAUAGGGGAGCCGAAGGGAAACCGAGUCUUAACUGGGCGUUAAGUUGCAGGGUAUAGACCCGAAACCCGGUGAUCUAGCCAUGGGCAGGUUGAAGGUUGGGUAACACUAACUGGAGGACCGAACCGACUAAUGUUGAAAAAUUAGCGGAUGACUUGUGGCUGGGGGUGAAAGGCCAAUCAAACCGGGAGAUAGCUGGUUCUCCCCGAAAGCUAUUUAGGUAGCGCCUCGUGAAUUCAUCUCCGGGGGUAGAGCACUGUUUCGGCAAGGGGGUCAUCCCGACUUACCAACCCGAUGCAAACUGCGAAUACCGGAGAAUGUUAUCACGGGAGACACACGGCGGGUGCUAACGUCCGUCGUGAAGAGGGAAACAACCCAGACCGCCAGCUAAGGUCCCAAAGUCAUGGUUAAGUGGGAAACGAUGUGGGAAGGCCCAGACAGCCAGGAUGUUGGCUUAGAAGCAGCCAUCAUUUAAAGAAAGCGUAAUAGCUCACUGGUCGAGUCGGCCUGCGCGGAAGAUGUAACGGGGCUAAACCAUGCACCGAAGCUGCGGCAGCGACGCUUAUGCGUUGUUGGGUAGGGGAGCGUUCUGUAAGCCUGCGAAGGUGUGCUGUGAGGCAUGCUGGAGGUAUCAGAAGUGCGAAUGCUGACAUAAGUAACGAUAAAGCGGGUGAAAAGCCCGCUCGCCGGAAGACCAAGGGUUCCUGUCCAACGUUAAUCGGGGCAGGGUGAGUCGACCCCUAAGGCGAGGCCGAAAGGCGUAGUCGAUGGGAAACAGGUUAAUAUUCCUGUACUUGGUGUUACUGCGAAGGGGGGACGGAGAAGGCUAUGUUGGCCGGGCGACGGUUGUCCCGGUUUAAGCGUGUAGGCUGGUUUUCCAGGCAAAUCCGGAAAAUCAAGGCUGAGGCGUGAUGACGAGGCACUACGGUGCUGAAGCAACAAAUGCCCUGCUUCCAGGAAAAGCCUCUAAGCAUCAGGUAACAUCAAAUCGUACCCCAAACCGACACAGGUGGUCAGGUAGAGAAUACCAAGGCGCUUGAGAGAACUCGGGUGAAGGAACUAGGCAAAAUGGUGCCGUAACUUCGGGAGAAGG